GUGCAAUCUCGGCUCACUGCAACUUCCACCUCCCGGGUUCAAGUGAUUCCCCUGCUCAGCCUCCCGAGGAGCUGGGACUACAGAUGAUGGAGUGGGAGGAAGAAGAGGCACAUGAAUAAACCAUUUACUGCCUGUUCUUGAGCCACAGAUCUGACUGGGCAAGAGUGGGAGCUGGAGCCUUGUGCAGAGAAGAAGCAUCUUUCAAUUAGAAUCAUCAGGAUCUACUCUCAUAACCAUAUUUUCUUGGAGAAAAGUGGGCUACUUAAGAGUAAGUAUUUUAAAUAUAAAAUCAGCUUCCAUAUAUAUGCCCACUCCACCAAGUACUUCCAACUGAAGACUGUUAUACUUGAAUCUCAGCUAUGAGAUUAAAAUAUGCAGAAAACUCAAAAUAUUUAAGAAUUGACUUUCAUCUGCAAGUCAUUAUUUGUAAAUGGGAGCAUAAGUGUGAAAAUUGGCAUAUCAAUUUAAAUAACUAUAUUAUGUUUACUCAGAUGCCAAAAUACUAUCUCUAAUUUUCAGUUUAAGCAUCAGGAAGCAAGAGUACAGUGUAUUUUUUCUGGGAUAACAUUAUGAAUCACUUGGUCAGUGGAAAAUGGAAAGGAAUUUUUCAAAAAACAAAAGUAAGAAAGUAUGUAAACAAAAUUCCAAAGUUCCUAAACUUGCCACAUCCUUUAUUUGUACUGGUAUAUCAUUUGUAAAUUACACUAGCGAGGAAACAAGGGGCAGUAGUUAAAGGACCUGAACAAUUGUCUUGGUUUCUAACACUCUCUCUUUUAGACAUGUAUUGGGCGAUAUAGGUCAUAUCCAGGUAUUUUCUUAAAGCACCAGAAAUAGGGUGUUAUUUUACAAGAUCAAUUAAAUUAUCUGUAUUAUUAAAAACCUAUCAGCAAAUAUUUUUCAUACAUUGAAAUUUCCCUAACAUAGAUAAUAUCCUGAAAUUGGCUAUAUAAUAAUAGCAUGAGCCAUAUUCUCAUAAUUUCAGUAAAUAUUAAACAAAAUAACCCCACAAUAUAUAAUUAGAAGUUGUGAGUGAAUUGCAAUAGAGUAACAUAAAGGGUUUGGUAGUCUCUUUGUGAAGUAAUAGUUAAACUAGACCAAAAUUGUUAGCAUAAUUUACCCAGUUUGAGGGAUGGGGGGAAUUUCACAUAGAAAUAACAAUAUAUGCAAGGGCCCAAGGAGAAGAAAGAAUUCAGCAUAUUUAAGAACCAGAAAAGCAGCUAGUAUUGGCAGAAGCAUAUUGAAUGUACCGAAAUUGAAGCCACCCUCACAGGGCUCACAAGAAUUCCAGACAGAAAUGUAGUUAUAAUUAAGCAUUAAUCAGGCUGCACUUCGACCCACUUGCUUUUAACCAAACAUAGUACCAGAUACUGACCAUGUGCAUCCCCAUUGUUCUAUAGAUAGGAUUUCCACCUUAGAAUUAUAUGACUUCUGUUUAAGAUUACUUAAAAUGCUUUCCAGUGAAACAGCUGGCACCAACCAGCUUGAAGACUCUCACAUAGGAACAGAAUUAACAUGAGAACACAGACUGUUCAUCUCCCUGCCUCAUGACUCUACCCUGCAUUCUUUAGCCAAUCAAUGAUCUCCACACUUCAGCCCAUUUCAAAACUCUUAAAAACCUUUCCCCAAACUUUUUAGGGAGAUAGAUUUCAGGUUUCUUCCCAUCUCCUCACUGAACAGCCCUACGAUUACAUCUCUUUCUGUACUGCAACCCAGUGUCUCAACGUACUGACUUGCCAUGUGCAUUGAGCAACAGACCUAUUACAGUUACAAAGUUGGCACAAGAUAAAGUUUGAAAGCAAAUCAAGGGUCAGAUUUUCUAUGACCUUGUAAGCUGAGACAGGAAGCUUUUAUUUUAUCCUAAUUAAAUAUAUGAUCAUUAAAGUUUGUGAGCAGGAAAUGGCAUGAUCUGAUUUGCAUUUUUAAAACAUUCUGUGUGCUGCAUGAAGAAUAGGUGGAAAGCAAUAAAAGUAGAAACUGAGAGACAAGUAAAUAUGCUACUGC